UAUCAAAGGAGAAAUCCGCUUUGAGAUGGGCCCGCGUCUGAUUAGCUAGUUGGUGAGGUAAUGGCUCACCAAGGCGACGAUCAGUAGCCGGCCUGAGAGGGUGAACGGCCACACUGGAACUGAGACACGGUCCAGACUCCUACGGGAGGCAGCAGUGGGGAAUAUUGCACAAUGGGCGAAAGCCUGAUGCAGCGACGCCGCGUGAGUGAAGAAGGUCUUCGGAUCGUAAAACUCUGUCCUUGGUGAAGAAAAAAAUGACGGUAGCCAAGGAGGAAGCCCCGGCUAACUACGUGCCAGCAGCCGCGGUAAUACGUAGGGGGCGAGCGUUGUCCGGAUUUACUGGGCGUAAAGGGUGAGUAGGCGGUAAUAUGUGUCAGAUGUAAAAGGCUAUGGCUUAACCAUGGACGUGCAUUUGAAACUGAAGGGCUCGAGUGCAGGAGAGGUAAGUGGAAUUCCUAGUGUAGCGGUGAAAUGCGUAGAUAUUAGGAGGAACACCAGUGGCGAAGGCGACUUACUGGACUGUAACUGACGCUGAGGCGCGAAAGCGUGGGGAGCAAACAGGAUUAGAUACCCUGGUAGUCCACGCUGUAAACGAUGGAUACUAGGUGUGGGAGGUAUCGACCCCUUCCGUGCCGCAGUAAACAGCAAUAAGUAUCCCGCCUGGGGAGUACGGCCGCAAGGUUGAAACUCAAAGGAAUUGACGGGGGCCCGCACAAGCAGCGGAGCAUGUGGUUUAAUUCGAAGCAACGCGAAGAACCUUACCAGAACUUGACAUCCCCCUGACCGGUACAGAGAUGUACCUUCCCCUUCGGGGGCAGGGGUGACAGGUGGUGCAUGGUUGUCGUCAGCUCGUGUCGUGAGAUGUUGGGUUAAGUCCCGCAACGAGCGCAACCCUUGUCCUUAGUUGCCAGCACUUCGGGUGGGAACUCUAAUGAGACUGCCGGUGACAAACCGGAGGAAGGUGGGGAUGACGUCAAAUCAUCAUGCCCCUUAUGUCUUGGGCUACACACGUGCUACAAUGGCCUGAACAGAGGGAAGCGNAAGCCGCAAGGCGGAGCGAAUCUCAAAAAACCGGUCCCGGUUCGGAUCGUGGGCUGCAACCCGCCCACGUGAAGCCGGAGUUGCUAGUAAUCGCGAAUCAGCAUGUCGCGGUGAAUGCGUUCCCGGGUCUUGUACACACCGCCCGUCACACCAUGGAAGUUGGGGGGACCCGAAGCCAGUG
rnacentral:rRNA from 1 species